rnacentral:misc_RNA from 1 species
UGGAAGUUAAAAAUUUAACAAGGUUUCCGUAGGUGAACCUGCGGAAGGAUCAUUACCUAGAGUUUGUGGGCUUUGCCUGCUAUCUCUUACCCAUGUCUUUUGAGUACUUACGUUUCCUCGGUGGGUUCGCCCGCCGAUUGGACAAUUUAAACCCUUUGCAGUUGCAAUCAGCGUCUGAAAAACAUAAUAGUUACAACUUUCAACAACGGAUCUCUUGGUUCUGGCAUCGAUGAAGAACGCAGCGAAAUGCGAUAAGUAGUGUGAAUUGCAGAAUUCAGUGAAUCAUCGAAUCUUUGAACGCACAUUGCGCCCCUUGGUAUUCCAUGGGGCAUGCCUGUUCGAGCGUCAUUUGUACCUUCAAGCAUUGCUUGGUGUUGGGUGUUUGUCUCGCCUUUGCGUGUAGACUCGCCUUAAAACAAUUGGCAGCCGGCGUAUUGAUUUCGGAGCGCAGUACAUCUCGCGCUUUGCACUCAUAACGACGACGUCCAAAAGUACAUUUUAACACUCUUGACCUCGGAUCAGGUAGGGAUACCCGCUGAACUUAAGCAUAUCAAUAA